rnacentral:rRNA from 1 species
UACGUAGGGUGCAAGCGUUGUCCGGAAUUAUUGGGCGUAAAGAGCUCGUAGGCGGUCUGUCGCGUCUGCUGUGAAAACUCAGGGCUUAACCCUGAGCUUGCAGUGGGUACGGGCAGACUAGAGUGCGGUAGGGGAGACUGGAAUUCCUGGUGUAGCGGUGAAAUGCGCAGAUAUCAGGAGGAACACCGGUGGCGAAGGCGGCGUCCUGGACCAACACUGACACUGAUGAGCGAAAGCCAGGGGAGCAAACGGG